GUUUGUUUACAGUCCGACGCGGCGCAAUGCAGGCGGCCCGGGCAAUCAGAAGAAAAGGAUCCAGGGAUAUAGGCAAUAAUAUAGUCUAAAACCCUAUAAAGAAGAAGAAAGAAAGAAGAAGGUGGAGUGACUGCUCUCUCUUUAAAGGCUGAAAGUGAUAGGCAGCCUGUCCUGUCAGCGGUGCCAAGGCGAAAUAAGAACAGUAGAACAUACGUGAUUCCGCUUACGAAGAAGUAUUAGUGAAGGCAGAUCUGCCUUCACUAGAGAAGUAUUAUGCAGAUUCAGAUGUCCUGUUGAAUCGUUUUUGUAUAUAAAUGUAAAUUAGUAGUUAAAAAAAGGUUCUAUCGUUUCAUAUACUUAAAAUAAAAUAAAAAUAUACUAAGGGAAUACAAUAAACUUUUGAUGUAAGGCGCCAACAUGUAUCAUACAUCGGAUUUCAUGAAACUGAAAUCCUCUUGCAUUGAGUUACAUUGCAAGUUACAUUGAUCGUGGAAAUAUUAUUCAAGUGAAUUUCAACAGGCCCUGCCUCAGUUUCUUUUCCAACUGUUUGAACUAUCUAGAAGCAGACAGAUUAUGAGCACUUUCUAGGAUUUUCUGAAACUAAUGGAUUCCUUUUACUUCUUUCUUCUAUGAAAUAAAGAUCACCAUGUAUUCCAAAGAACACAGAUGAAUACCACUGUGUAUCCCUUUCUUUUUACAAUGAGAUUUUUUUUUCAGGUGGAUUCAGGGUGAUAGAUAUUUUACUCUUUAGUUCUUUAAAUGAAGGGUUUAUUGUUUAUGCAUUCCCAUUUUAUGGCAAUCAAAACUGAAUGAAGGCAAUAAGUGAGCUAUAACAUCCUAUUUUCUCUUGAAUAUUCACAACCUGAGCUUGUAGCAUGAUAUUUUUAUAUAAAAUAAAAUAUUCUUGAAUUUGUGUAAUUUUUCUUUUAAUAAAUAGUUCUGAAAAUCCACUUUUCAUUUUUAAUUCAUAAUAAAUGUGAAGCAAUAAGCUUAUUUUGCAUAUGUUAUAAAACUAUAUAUGUCAGAGAAUCCCUGUAACAAAUAAGAUCUCUUUUUGCAGCAGAUUUUAAGUAAUUUGUAGGAUAAUCUUGAAUGGGACCACACAGAGAAUAGAAAAGCAUUGAUUUGAUAUAAAGAAGUCAUAAACCGCAUCUACAUAAAAUAAAGGUAAACAUAGAUUUCUAGUUAAUUCUUAAACAGUACCAUGACUUCAGUGCUUCAUGCUUGAGUAACUGUCAACAAACCUCCACCACAUAUAUUAUAACAAGAUAGGGAAUGGAGGGCUUUGAGGCAAGAUAAGUAUAAAGUUAGUCCAAGCUCUGUCUUGUCAAAAUGUGCAUUGGAGCACAAAGUAUCGUUCCGUGUGGUCCUUUCCUAAAUAAAUGAUGACCCAACACAACUAUCACUACACUGUUUUAUAUUAUAUUGAUCAGUAAUAUUUAGUUUAAAAGAAACACUGCUACAGUAGGAACAAAAAUUAAAAGUGACUUAGCAACCCCAUGAACUGGUUCUUAUCAUUGAAAGAUAAAGAUUAAAAAAAAAAAUAUUUUGACUCUUGCAUUUUAUAUCAGAUUUCUUAAAUAUAUUUGAUAAUAAAAUCUGAUCAAGAAUAUCCCUUUUUAACAUGUUAUGAUGUAAUUACUUGUCUUUAUUUCCAUUUAUAAAAUAAUUUAUUUAUCUCUUAUUAAUGUCACAUCAAAAUUCAAAAUAAGUCUUAUUGCUUCCUAAUAUGUAAUUUCUUAUUACAUACUCUAAACCUUUCUUGAAGGAAUCUGCUGAGUAUUUUUUGUCUUCAUCGUAACCUUUCAACUUCUCUGUAUUAUGCAUGGCUGCAUAUGACUAAUUUUUAUUUAUUCCUAUCAGCUUGCAGUAAAUCCUAUGGUGAAAUUUAUAUUACAUUAUAUGAUAUACUAUAAACAUAUAGAAAAUCAUCUACAAGCUCUAUUUUAGCUGGGCUUAUGUGAUCAGAACUGACAUAAUAAGGAUGUAAGGUUAACAAGUAACAGAGCUUAAUAUUUUUCAGGAAAAUAAACUGCCAAGAUACAGAUACACAGAUUGUUAGUAUUAAGGUCCAUCUUGUUUAGAAGUCAAUUUCUGAGAUUUUUUUUUUUUUUUUUUUCUAGUUGAAGUUUUCUUAUUCUUUAUAUUUUGAUGUACUGAUAUAUUUUGUGCUACACAUGCUCACCAUUGAUUUUGCAUAUUUAGCAGAUUAACAUUUUAAUUUCUCCAGUUUUUGUGGAAAAUAAAUAUCCAAGAUUGGAUUAGUCUUUAUUCAACAUACAGAGGAUAUCACCCUUCGGAGAGAAGCCAUGGUUGUUGAGAUCUCAUUGUUGAAAGCAAAUGGGCUCUUGAUGGCAAGUCAGUAGUCAAUUGAUAUGUUUUAUCAAAAAUGAUAUUAUUUUGCCAGAAUAAUCCUUCAGUGUAUUGACAGAUAUUCAGACGAGUAUCAGCAUCUCUUUGACAAGCAGCUGUAGGGGGUAAUGUAAUGGUUUGUGUAUGUGACCAACUGGAACAGCAUAUAACACUGCGUGUGCUGCUACAGCAACCAUGCAAAAUAAGGAACUGGAAGCCAGUAAGAAGCUCUACACUGAAGUCAUCUGCAGAGGCUUCAGGAGAUGAGAGAUCUGCUCACACAAAGUAAACAUGGGGAGGAAAUCUUUGACAAAAUGUCAUUCGGAAUUGAAACUGAAUUGAGACUUUGAUACACAUUGUCUUUUGGAUGUACAAAAGAAAUAAACACCAUGAGUAAUGGUAUGACCCAUUGAUAUCACAGGGAGUGUAUUUAUAGGGUAAACUCUUCAUUUAAAACUUAUUUGAGUUUUUUUUUUUUAAGCUAUCUACCAAUGUUGAAUUCUCUAUAGAUAACAUGUCUUAUCAUGAAACUAUCAAGCAGUGUUGGUCUUUAAACUUUGUAGAAGUUGUACAGUUGUAAGAUAUUGACAUUAAUGAAAAAUGCUCUCUGAAAAUGGCCAAAAAUCCUAUUUUUUUGCGCACCCCUUAACCAUUUCCUGAUUACCUGUAUGUAGACGUAAUAUUGGCUAAUUUAUUAUCCUUAAGGCUUGAACCAAAUUGAGGAUUGAUUUUGAUUCAUAUCAUACUUUAAAAUUCAUGUAAAGUCAGUAAUCUUAGCUUUUAACAAUGAAAUGUGUUGAUUUUGUCACCUGCUUUCAUAUUUUAGUCCAUUGUUCGUGUAGUGAAAUGUUUUCACGACAUUGAGAAUCAAACCGAAAUUCAUCUUAGAAGUAUAAAUGUUGUUGAGAAUGUAGACAUAGAAAUUGUAUAUUUUUUGAAAGGGACAGAGUUUCUUUACCUUGUAUGAAAAAAUAUUUUUUUGUUACUUCUCUGGAUUGCAAGACCAGUGGCGCAUUACUUUAUAAAGUAAUGGAAAUAAAUGCCUGCAACUUUCUGUACUUAUUAA
rnacentral:lncRNA from 1 species